GAUGAACGCUGGCGGCGUGCCUAAUACAUGCAAGUCGAGCGAAGCGGGGACGGGUGAGUAACACGUGGAUAACCUCCUAUAAGACUGGGAUAACUUCGGGAAACCGGAGCUAAACCGGAUAAUUAUAGAUGGAUCCGCGCUGAAUUAGCUAGUUGGUAAGGUAACGGAUUAAAAAGGCAACGAUGCAUAGCCGACCUGAGAGGGUGAUCGGCCACAACAGAACUGAUACACGUGCCAGAGUCCUACGGGCGGCAGCAGUAGGGAAUCUUCCGCAAUGGGCGAAAGCCUGACGGAGCAACGCCGCGUGAGUGAUGAAGGUCUGCGGAUCUUAAAACUCUGUUAUUAGGGAAGCGGUACCUAAUCAGAAAGCCACGGCUAACUACGUGCCAGCAGCCGCGGUAAUAC
rnacentral:rRNA from 1 species